GCUUAUUAGGCAGCUGGUCAGGUGGCUGUUUUGCUAUCAGUGCUGAGGAGACCUUGAUGCUGGAUGGAAGGAAGCCUUGUCUCACUGACUUGAACCUGCUGGGGAUAGGGACAUAAAUAUGACUUGCCCAGCAGAUCAGGAAGCUGUCGUCACCAGGGCCGUCUGUCAGUUUGGCAUGGUCUCGCUACCAAGUUGAAAUCCACAGUAUGGAGUGGUCAAACCAGGCCCCCUAUAGCGCUGGUCAACAUCAGUGGAAGAAGAAAAUCUCACCGGAGGGAGAAGACACAUUGGAGCUAUGACGGGUGACAGUCUUCAUUUUUAAUAAAGGACUUCUCAAAAA